UGGGGCCGGUGGGGGCAAUCUCUCGCAAGGGGGGCGUCGUCGUGAAAUUGUUGGGAAAAAUGCGAAGAGUCGCUGCUGUUCGAGAGGGGAGAACUAAGACUUCUAAUUGCAGAGGAUGAACACAGGCAUUAAAAAGACAGUGAAGCUGAGUCGGCACUAGGAUCGCCCACAGGAUUUCCCAGGAGCUGCAGACAGUGAGAAGCAGCUCAUGGCCAUGGGUUCCCCAACUACCUGCAGUCCCCAUGCACUGUCUCAUUUGGGAUGGGAAUCAGAGGGCAGCAAGCUAUCCAUCUGGAAUCCUCCAAGUACCACCAAAAAGAUGGUGAGGCUCUGCGUUUUGCCUCACAGGAUGUGCUGUGUGAUAAACCAAGUUCCACCAACACAUGCAUCAGAUGCCAAUGUCAUGUCAGUUAGAGUGGCCUGCUGAAACUAGUAGAGCCCCGCUGAUCUGCAAGAGUCCUGCGGCCUGGUCUAACCACCACAAAUUCACCUGGUAUAGUUUUGCUGUAUGUAUGGCAACUGCCACAUUGGCAGUGUUGUACAAGACUCCAGAUAAGCUUUAAGAGAAUUUUCUCUUUUCAAAGACAAGACUUAACCUCAUUGUGUCACCUCAGAAGUCAGAAAGAGGAUGAAAGAGAAGCAUGGAGCACAAAAAGGAACAGAUCAGUUGUUGCCAGUGACUGUUCCAGAGCUGUGCCAGAAGCUCACCCAUGACUGCUGAACAUGUUUAGCUCAGGCUGGACUACUAGAAAUGAAGAGGAAACUUGAUUAAAAACACUGACCCUAACAAAAGAGAGAAAAGGUGCCGAGAAGCAAAAGACAGAAGAUGGAACAAUGAGAAAAAAGUCAGCUGUAGCAGAAGUGUUUGGAAAGCUGAGGUAAAUGAAAGGUAAUUAAAGCAAGAGUAAAGCACCUGUUUAGCCUGGAUAAGCAACAGGUUAAAGACACUAAGCCAAUAUCAAAGGGAAGAAACAAGCAUCGACUAUCAGAACAUGACUGGAGUGGCACAAGUGUAGCCAACAUAAUUAAUUCCCAUCUUAUUCACAAAAUCCAAAUAUUAAGAGACUUCCAUAUUCACAACCAAAAAUCUGUCUCAUGAAAAUUCUCCCAUUCGAGGAAAGAAAGAAUCUGUAGAUCUGCAGCAUUAUCAAACUUAUCCUACAUCAAGAUAUAGAGCAAAGUUAUGCUUUUGUAUACUACUAAGAAUAGCUCUCUUUGCAGCUAUGCAAGGAGGAGAAGAUGCUAGGAAUCUUCUUCAUGCCACAAAGCCCUGAUAGGCUGGGUUGGCUCAAAUUAUACUGCUUACAUCACCACACCAGGAAAUGACAUUAAGCGAUGCCUCUUUAUGAUGUGAGGUACAUGCUCCAGCAUUUUCCUUCCUGCAUUCCAAGAAGGAUCUGAACCAGCAAUUAGUUGCCAAUGGCACCACACUGGAUUUCAGAGGAUGUUCUUCUUGUUUGAGAUACCAGACGUUCAAAGCUUUGGCCACUAAAAU
rnacentral:lncRNA from 7 species